rnacentral:rRNA from 1 species
UGGGGAAUAUUGCAGCAAUGGGCGCAAGCCUGGAUGCAGCCAUGCCGCGUGUGUGAAGAAGGCCUUCGGGUUGUAAAGCACUUUCAGUCGUGAGGAAGGUAGUGUAGUUAAUAGCUGCAUUAUUUGACGUUAGCGACAGAAGAAGCACCGGCUAACUCCGUGCCAGCAGCCGCGGUAAUACGGAGGGUGCGAGCGUUAAUCGGAAUUACUGGGGCGUAAAGCGCAUGCAGGUGGUUUGUUAAGUCAGAUGUAGCAAGGCCGGCAACCUCGGAAUAGCAUUUGAAACUGGCAGACUAGAGUACUGUAGAGGGGGGUAGAAGUUUCAGGUGUAGCGGUGAAAUGCGUAGAGAUCUGAAGGAAUACCGGUGGCGAAGGCGGCCCCCUGGACAGAUACUGACACUCAGAUGCGAAAAGCGUGGGGAGCAAAACAGGAUUAGAUACCCUGGUAGUCCACGCCGUAAACGAUGUCUACUUGGAGGUUGUGGCCUUGAGCCGUGGCUUUCGGAGCUAACGCGUUAAGUAGACCGCCUGGGAGUACGGUCGC